rnacentral:lncRNA from 1 species
ACUAGGUGUUAUUUUCUUCAAUGGACUUCAGUUCCUUAUUCAUUGAUUUCACCCACUUCGAAUCCUUUAAUGUAUCAGCUGCGUUCAAUAGUUUGACAUAUGCAUAGAAAAUAUAGUGUACCAGCUCACCUUCAUCACCAGGCAUAUCAUCUGAUGUAAUCACACAUUCUUGUAAUCUUGCAAGCAUGUGACUUGUUCUUUGAGGUUUGCUUGUGC